rnacentral:rRNA from 1 species
UUGCGGUUAAAGCUCGUAGUUGGAUUUCUGUUGAGGACGUCCGGUCCGCACUAUGUGCGUGUAUCUGGUUCGGCCUUGGCAUCCUCUUGAGGAACGUUUCUGCGCUUGAUUGCGUGGAGCGGUAUUCAAGACUUUUACUUUGAGGAAAUUAGAGUGUUCACGGCAGGCAAGCGCCUUGAAUAUGUUAGCAUGGAAUAAUAAUAUAGGAUCUUGGUUCUAUUUUGUUGGUUUCUAGAGCUAAGGUAAUGAUUAAUAGGGAUAAUUGGGGGCAUUUGUAUUAACGCGUCAGAGGUGGAAUUCUUAGAUUGCGUUACGACAAACUACUGCGAAAGCAUUUGCCAAGGAUGUUUUCAUUGAUCAAGAACGAAAGUAUGGGGAUCGAAGAUGAUUAGAUACCGUCGUAGUCUAUACCAUAAACUAUGCCGACUAAAGAUUGGAGGUCGUUCUUUUACUGACUCCUUCAGCAUUUUAUGAGAAAUCAAAGUCUUUGGGUUCCGGGGGGAGUAUAGUCGCAAGGCCGAAACUUAAAGGAAUUGACGGAAGGGCACCACCAGGAGUGGAGCCUGCGGCUUAAUUUGACUCAACACGGGAAAUCUCACCAGGCCCGGACACUGGAAGGAUUGACAGAUUGAGAGCUCUUUCUCGAUUCGGUGGGUGGUGGUGCAUGGCCGUUCUUAGUUGGUGGAGUGAUUUGUCUGGUUAAUUCCGAUAACGAACGAGACUCUGUCCUGCUAAAUAGU